rnacentral:rRNA from 1 species
UACGAAGGGGCUAGCGUUGCUCGGAAUUCACUGGGCGUAAAGGGUGCGUAGGCGGGUCUUUAAGUCAGGGGUGAAAUCCUGGAGCUCAACUCCAGAACUGCCUUUGAUACUGAAGAUCUUGAGUCGGGAGAGGUGAGUGGAAUUCCGAGUGUAGAGGUGAAAUUCGUAGAUAUUCGGAAGAACACCAGUGGCGAAGGCGAACUUACUGGACACAGUAUUGACGCUGAGGUGCGAAAGCGUGGGGAGCAAACAGGG